rnacentral:lncRNA from 1 species
AAGUUUUAAUUCAUUUUAUUCCGUUUAGUUCCUUUCUACAUAAGUGCAGAGGAGAAAUGCAGUUGUCCGCAUGUAAACUUCUAGCAUUUGUCACCAAUUUGAGUACAUCGCAAUCCGUUACUGUUUCAACACCCAGGGGUGUUUCAUGUCUGUAUUCUUAAACAAUUAUUAUUUUUUCUCUCUUUUUUAGCAAUGCACCACUCUCUACUGUCCUUAUCUAUUAUUCUAUAUUCUGCGUCUCCAUCCAGAUUAUCGUGUAUACAAUGAGGGUCCGGAUUGGGGGUUUGUUUAUUUCUGUAUUCU